rnacentral:lncRNA from 1 species
AAAUACUGCCAAAUAUCGAGGUGGAUUGUUUUCUUUGGCCCACUCUGUAUAUUUUCUUUCUUAUUUUCUACGGUUUUAUUUUAGGUGAUUAUUUUUUACUUGUUUCCUGUAUAAGAUCAGUAUUUCUAUGACAAAUUGGACUAUUGGGCCUGACACCUCUUAUGACACAAUUGAAUCCUUUCCCAAAGUCAUCAAACCCUGUAAAAUUUGAAGCUAUAUUAUACAUAUAUAAAAAGUUCACCCUGGAACAAAAUUUAAAAUAUUAAUUCAAAUUUUUAUACAAAGCCAUACUACAAUACAUUACCCUAGUCUAAAAAAGUUACUACGUAAAUGGAUAUGGAAUGUCUCUAAAUAGCUACGACCAAAACUCGUUUUUUAUGAAGACAGGACAACGUAAAGCUCGAAAACUUAAUAAGAAAUGAACACUCUGCAUCAACAGAUAGCCGGAAAACUUUACAUCAUAAAUACAAAAAUAUUUAACGUAGUAACAGAUUCAUUUAUGUUAUUACAGACUGACUGCGAAUUUAGUACGAUACUGGUAUAGCCGUGCCAUAUUGAAGAUCUUUGUCGGUUUCUCCCGAAUAAUAGAUGUAUCCAUCUUCUGUUUUUUGUUUUUCUAAACCAGUCCAUUUUACUUCACUUAUCCCCAAGACAUCAAUUUUCAUUUCUCUCGUCUCGUCUCUUCAGUGUUUGCCGGUUUCCCGGACAUAAAUAAGCUUCGUACGCUCCAGGUGGUAAUGCUCAUUAUCCUAUCAUAUAUUUCGAUUCUCUAUUCUAGUUCUUUUUGAAUUCCCUCCCCCAGCUUCUUCUCUUUUCCUUAUCUCUUGUGGUGUCCACGUCAAAAUCUGUUUAAGGAUCCUGUCAUCUGGCAUUCUCUAUACAUGGCCGUACCAUAUUAGUUGUUUUGUUCACUUCCUUGGAUCUUAAUAGUAGUUAGUGGGGGAUUCUUCGCCCCUCUCCCCAUUAAGGGAUGUCCGGGACUCGGGACCAUUUUCUUGUUGUCGUCUGCCAGUUGUGAGAAAUAUAAUGGGGUGGUUUUCCCGUUGCCUUCCCCAUCGCAGUACCACAGCCAUUUAAAUUGCUCCAGUCAUGCUUGGGGACUGUGGGGCACCACAGUUUUAAGUCGGUUAUUGAACAUUUAUGCUAAAAAAUUCUGUAAUUUCUAUAUUUUUCUCCAAAAUGACAGAUCAUUUCAUUUUUUUCCCUCAUAUUUAAUCUUAUAACUAGUAUUUGAAUUUUAAGUUAUGCUAGCUUCUAAAAUAAUAAAUAAAUAUAAUGACAAUGUAGUUACUACUAAACAGAGGCUCUCUAAAAAACUGGUGUAGUAAUCUUUGAGUACGACUGUAGAAAAGGUCUGUAGUAUCCUUGGAAGUUAAAAUAAAUGUUUUAAAUUACAUUUAAAAUUAAAUUGUUCAAUUCCUAGUAAAAAAAAUUUUAUUACUUUAACAUCUUAAGUUUACAUGAUUACAUAUUGACACAAGGUGUUCAUUUUUUAAUAAGUUUUCCAGUUUUCAGGUGUCUAACCUUGUUAUUAAUAAAUUUUAUUGGAAAUUUUGUCAUAACUAUUGGAAGACACUUUAAAUCCAGAAUUGUUUUAUUGAAAGAAUCGCUAAUACUAAUUCCCUAUUUUCGUUUACAAAAUUUGCAGUUGGCCAAUGAUAAGCAGUGAUAAAAAGAAAUAAUGAGUGCGCGAAUCUUCAGAAAUAUCACGGAAUCUCAAAAAUUAAUCCUUUUAUAGUUUAGGGGCUGUGAAAAAUAUUAAUAUCGAUAUAAAGUUGUUUUUUCAUUUAAGAUAUAGGAAUGUAAGUCCUAUUGUAUACUUAUUUAUGUUGAUAAACUAAAUGCAGACAAAUGUUAUGGACAAAUUUUGAAAUCAGAAAUAUAUACAUAGCUGAUAAAGAAAUUAUUAUCUAUGAAAUAAACGAUUAUUUAAAGUAAUUUUGGUUUCUAGGUGUAGUUUUACUCUUGUGCACAUUAUUUACUAUCCCGAUGACAAAUCAAUGCUCCUAAGGGAUAGGGACGAUCCCGAAUAGGAAGUCUUAGGAGUCGCUGACCGAAAACCACUUAGAGACGCGACGACUAGUCGGUAUGCGCCUGUCCAGUGCAAUAGGAGACAGACAAAACAAAUUUUAAGAGUUUUUUU